rnacentral:rRNA from 1 species
GGGUGCGAGCGUUAAUCGGAAUUACUGGGCGUAAAGCGUGCGCAGGCGGUUUUUUACGCCCGAUGUGAAAGCCCCGGGCUCAACCUGGGAAUGGCAUUUGGGACUGCAAGGCUUGAGUGCGGCAGAGGAGACUGGAAUUCCUGGUGUAGCAGUGAAAUGCGUAGAUAUCAGGAGGAAUACCGAUGGCGAAGGCAGGUCUCUGGGCUGACACUGACGCUCAUGCACGAAAGCGUGGGGAGCAAACAGG